UACGUAGGGGGCAAGCGUUGUCCGGAAUCAUUGGGCGUAAAGAGCGUGUAGGCGGUCCGGUAAGUCGGUUGUGAAAGUCCAGGGCUCAACCCUGGGAUGCCGAUCGAUACUGUCGGACUAGAGUUCGGAAGAGGCGAGUGGAAUUCCCGGUGUAGCGGUGAAAUGCGCAGAUAUCGGGAGGAACACCAAUGGCGAAGGCAGGUCUCUGGGCCACUACUGACGCUGAGAAGCGAAAGCGUGGGGAGCGAACAGG
rnacentral:rRNA from 1 species